GAUGAAGAACGUAGCGAAAUGCGAUACUUGGUGUGAAUUGCAGAAUCCCGUGAACCAUCGAGUCUUUGAACGCAAGUUGCGCCCGAAGCCAUCAGGUUGAGGGCACGUCUGCCUGGGCGUCACAUAUCGUUGCCCAAUGCCUAUUGCAGUGCAAUAGGAAUUUCUAGGGCGAAUGAUGGCUUCCCGUGAGCGUUGUUGCCUCGCGGUUGGUUGAAAAUGGAGUCCUUGGUAGGGUGUGCCAUGGUAGAUGGUGGUCGAGUUAGAACGAUACCGAUCAUGUGCAUGCUCCCCAAAAUAUGGCCUCUAUGACCCACACGCGUCUUUUGACGCUCAUGACGAGACCUCAGGUCAGGCGGGGCUACCCGCUGAAUUUAAGCAUAUCAAUAAGCGGAGGA
rnacentral:misc_RNA from 1 species